ensembl:lncRNA
GUCAGAUUUAUUGUAGCAACGAAUCAUAGCAACGCUGAGAGUCCAUGACAACGGUCGCGAGAUCGUGAAUCUUGUGCUGGAAUGCGACAGUGUUUAAGAACUUCACACAGAUCAAAUAGUUUCGGAGCCGCAUUGAAAGCUCGCGCUGUCCUGAGCGAUAUAAACAUGGGAUGUGGGAGCUCCAAAAUCACGGUGGUCGAACCCGUAAAACCGCGAGGUCUGAACGGAAAUGAGGGAGGCUCUCGCGGUGACUCUGCCGUGUCCAAAAUGACCACAGACAGCGGGGUCAGUCUGGAUGCAGCGGAGCCAACACUUCUACCUGGAUCUGUACCUAGAAUGCUGCCACCCAUACAAGCCCAGAGUCCUGGACUGGCCCAGCAAAGUGAAGAGAGGCCCAAGUCCAGUGAGAUCCUGGAGCAGCUGCUUGUUCAGGGAAUCAUUCCAGCUCAGCCAAGACAGGGAGGAAGUGGGGAAG